UGAGCGACGGCAGCGCUGGCCAAUCGCGAGGGGCGUGCUGGAGCUGUUCCGCCCCACUUCCGUGACGUAAGCACGGCAGACUCUUCCCAGAGCAACCUGUGGUAUCACUCAUCUUACAGACUUGUAGGAAAUGAGGCUCAGGAACCUGGCUCCCCGAAUGCCGUGACUAUCAUUAGCAAUAAAUUGGCCUUCGUUCUCUGA